CAGCAGCCGCGGGAAUACGUAGGGUGCAAGCGUUAAUCGGAAUUACUGGGCGUAAAGCGUGCGCAGGCGGUUAUAUAAGACAGAUGUGAAAUCCCCGGGCUCAACCUGGGAACUGCAUUUGUGACUGUAUAGCUAGAGUACGGCAGAGGGGGAUGGAAUUCCGCGUGUAGCAGUGAAAUUCGUAGAUAUGCGGAGGAACACCGAUGGCGAAGGCAAUCCCCUGGGCCUGUACUGACGCUCAUGCACGAAAGCGUGGGGAGCAAACAGGAUUAGAUACCCCCGUAGUCCCUGUCUCUUAUAC
rnacentral:rRNA from 1 species